GCAUUCUGUGCCAGCCAAGGUUAUAUGCUGAAGUCUUAUAGUUGGAUUUGAACUCGUGAAGUGCUCGCACAAAGGCAAAAACUGCUCUCAUCUGAGUUAAAUUGACCCUGUUGGGUUGAUACAGGCAGAAGGUGGAGUCUAGCACAGCCAAGUGCAAAAUAUCCAGAAAUAUGGUAAACUGUGAAGAAGAUAAAUUUAUGGAGGAUCUUGGUUAACAAGAAACAAGAUGGUUUUCAGUGAGAUAGAUCCACAGGAUUUACCAGCUUCAUGCUGAGAAUCUAAGACCCGCUGAAUACUUAUCAUUGAACUAUAAGCUUCUUCCUCUUUCAGUUAAUGGCACUGACACAGCUUGCUGAAGCUGUUGUUCUGAAAAUUAAUCCUAUGUAUUUAAGUUUGUUUUAUAAUACUAGCCUUACACAGCCUGGCUAUUAAUGUGUUGUCAAUAUUCCAUAAACAAUUUGGCAUAUUAGUAUUUAUCUAUCCACUGAAGACUUGCUUCAGCAAAUGCUGAUCCUUAACACUGCUCAUUCAUCUAUCUGAAUUGACACCAGGAAUGCUUCUGCUGAUUUAUGGCAAGAUUUAUCAAGAACCAACAUGCAAAUCUUAAUGACAUUUAGACUGGAUGUGAUAAGUGCAGGUGAUGGUAAAAUGAUGUUUGUAGAAAGUAUCUGUAGGAUCUAUUCACAAGACUGGGUGGGUGGUAACCAUUUCAGCCCGGGGCAGUGUCAACAGGCAUGGAUGCAAAGGGUUACUAAAAUGUACGCCAAUAAAUCAUUCAUCACUCAAGUAUUGUAACCUAUAUGCUUACCAUUUACUAAUGCCUAGCGUUUGCGAUACAGCUGACCUGAUUCAUAUCUUUUGAUAUGUUUUAAAUGCCCCACAGUGAUGUUUCUUUAGGUCUGUUUAUACAUAUAGAGGAAUGCUUUCUUCUUCUGUGGGCCUCUUUGGGAUGUAUAUAAGGAACCCUACUGAAAUGCAUAUUAUAUUCUUAGAACCCAAGGUGCCAAUACUGUCAUCAUUUGAUUAUUUUAACAGCAACAAAUGGAAAAGCAAGUUGUGUCAGAUUUUCCACUGGGAGAGUUAGUUCUAUAGGCCUUAUUGGCAGAAACUGGGGCAAUCAGAAUUCAUCUGCAAUUACACUCAUUUUGUAUUUCUCAAGUGACUUAACCGGCCCUUAAUGAGUGAGACAAUGGCCAAAGACCUUAAUCCACAUCCAGUGGAAAAGCUGUAGGAAAUUAAGCAGACCAGCUUUGUGCGUCUUGAAUCCUGAUCGAGAUCAUCUCUGGAUUUUGAACAACAAAUUUACAGAUCCACGGCAUGCGUCUCAAUCACCUCUCAGUUUUGAAAUCAGGGACAAAGGCAAACUCUAAUUCAACCUCUUGUGUAGAGUAUGUUGCAACUUUUAUUUAAAUUCAUGCUUUUUCCUUGUAAUAAAUUUUUUUAAUUCU